UACGUAGGGUGCGAGCGUUUGUCCCGGAAUUAUUGGGCGGUAAAGAGACUCGUAGGCGGGUCUGGUUCGCGUCGGCUGUGAAAAACCCGAGGCUCAACCUCGGGCCUGCAGUCGAUACGGGCAGGCUAGAGUUCGGUAGGGGAGACUGGAAUUCCUGGGUGUAGCGGUUGAAAUGUGCAGAUAAUCAGGAGGAACACCGGUGGCGAAGGCGGGUCUCUGGGCCGAUACUGACGCUGAGG
rnacentral:rRNA from 1 species